rnacentral:rRNA from 1 species
UACGUAGGGUGCGAGCGUUGCCCGGAUUUAUUGGGCGUAAAGGGCGCGUAGGCGGCUCGGCACGUCCGUUGUGAAAUCGCCCGGCUCAACUGGGCGGGGUCAGCGGAUACGGCCGAGCUGGAGAAAGCUAGGGGGUAAUGGAAUUCCCGGUGUAGUGGUGGAAUGCGUAGAUAUCGGGAGGAACACCAGUGGCGAAGGCGGUUACCUGGAGCUUUGCUGACGCUGAUGCGCGAAAGCGUGGGGAGCGAUCCGG